rnacentral:rRNA from 1 species
UACGAAGGGGGCUAGCGUUGCUCGGAAUCACUGGGCGUAAAGGGUGCGUAGGCGGGUCUUUAAGUCAGGGUGAAAUCCUGGAGCUCAAUCCAGAACUGCCUUUGAUACUGGGAGCUCGAGUCCGGAAGAGGUGAGUGGGAACUGCGAGUGUAGAGGUGAAAUUCGUAGAUAUUCGCAAGAACACCAGUGGCGAAAGGCGGCUCAACUGGUCCGGUACUGACGCUGAGGUGCGAAAC